rnacentral:rRNA from 1 species
GGUCAAGCUACUAAGCGCAUACGGUGGAUGCCUUGGCAUCAGGAGGCGAUGAAGGACGUGGAAGCCUGCGAUAAGCUUCGGGGAGCUGGCAAACAAGCUUUGAUCCGAGGAUUUCCGAAUGGGGAAACCCACCUGCGCAUCAGGAUACCCUCCGCUGAAUACAUAGGCGGUGAGGAGCGAACCCGGGGAACUGAAACAUCUCAGUACCCGGAGGAAAAGAAAUCAACCGAGAUUCCCUAAGUAGUGGCGAGCGAACGGGGACCAGCCUCCAAUUACAAACCGAUGUCUAGUAGAACCGUCUGGAAAGGCCCGCCAUAGAGGGUGAUAGCCCCGUACGCGAAACGACAAAGGCUCUCAGUUGGACACCUGAGUAGGGCGGGACACGUGAAAUCCUGUCUGAAGAUGGGGGGACCAUCCUCCAAGGCUAAAUACUCCUGAUGACCGAUAGUGAACCAGUACCGUGAGGGAAAGGCGAAAAGAACCCCGGAGAGGGGAGUGAAAUAGAACCUGAAACCGUAUGCUUACAAGCAGUCGGAGCCCUUCCGCAAGGGGGGUGACUGCGUACCUUUUGUAUAAUGGGUCAGCGACUUACUCUAGUGAGCAAGCUUAACGAGAAGAGGAGGCGUAGCGAAAGCGAGUCUGAAUAGGGCGAUUCAGUCGCGGGCAGUAGACCCGAAACCGGGUGAUCUAUCCAUGACCAGGAUGAAGGUGGCGGUAACCGCACGGGGAGGACCGAACCGACGACCGUUGAAAAAGUCUCGGAUGAGCUGUGGAUAGGGGUGAAAGGCUAAUCAAACUCGGAAAUAGCUGGUUCUCCUCGAAAAGCUAUUUAGGUAGCGCCUCGCGUCUCACUCUUCGGGGGUAGAGCACUGAAUGGGCUAGGGGGCCUUCCCGGCUUACCAAACCGAUGCAAACUCCGAAUACCGCAAAUCAUUUAUUGCAGGGAGACAGACGGCGGGUGCUAACGUCCGUCGUCAAGAGGGAAACAACCCAGACCGCCAGCUAAGGUCCCCAAAAUCCAGGCUAAGUGGAAAACGAUGUGGGAAGGCUCAGACAGCCAGGAGGUUGGCUUAGAAGCAGCCAUCCUUUAAAGAAAGCGUAAUAGCUCACUGGUCGAGUCGUCCUGCGCGGAAAAUUUAACGGGGCUCAAGCCAUUACCGAAGCUGCGGAUUGCAAGCUUCGAUUCGAUGGGUAGAGGAGCGUUCCGUAAGCCUGUGAAGGUGGAUCGUGAGGAUGCUGGAGGUAUCGGAAGUGCGAAUGCUGACAUGAGUAACGAUAAAGCGGGUGAAAAACCCCCUCGCCGAAAGCCCAAGGUUUCCUGCGCAACGUUAAUCGGCGCAGGGUGAGUCGGCCCCUAAGGCGAGGCCGAAAGGCGUAGUCGAUGGAAAACAGGUCAAUAUUCCUGUACCUCUGUGCGAUGGGGGGACGGAGAAGGCUAGGCCAGCCGGGUGUUGGAUGUCCCGGUUUAAGCGUGUAGGAGGUUCCGUAGGCAAAUCCGGGGGGCAAUACUCCGAGAGCGUGAUGACGAGUCCCUCGUUGAGACGAAGUGAUUGAUGCCCAUGCUUCCAAGAAAAGCCUCUAAGCUUCAGGCAAUGACGACCGUACCGCAAACCGACACAGGUGGGCGAGGAGAGAAUACCUAAGGCGCUUGAGAGAACUCGGGUGAAGGAACUCGGCAAAAUAACACCGUAACUUCGGGAGAAGGUGUGCCCCUUGUAGGUGAAAAGCCUCGCGCUGAGCCGAAAGAGGUCGCAGAGAUCAGGCGGCUGCGACUGUUUAUUAAAAACACAGCACUCUGCAAACACGAAAGACGACGUAUAGGGUCUGACGCCUGCCCGGUGCCGGAAGGUUAAGUGAUGGGGUUAGCGCAAGGCGAAGCUCUUGAUCGAAGCCCCGGUAAACGGCGGCCGUAACUAUAACGGUCCUAAGGUAGCGAAAUUCCUUGUCGGGUAAGUUCCGACCUGCACGAAUGGCGUAACGAUGGCCACACUGUCUCCACCCGAGACUCAGCGAAAUUGAAAUCGCUGUGAAGAUGCAGUGUUACCCGCGGCUAGACGGAAAGACCCCGUGAACCUUUACUAUAGCUUUGCACUGGACUUUGACCCUACUUGUGUAGGAUAGGUGGGAGGCUUUGAAGCCGGGACGCCAGUUCGCGUGGAGCCAACCUUGAAAUACCACCCUGGUAUCCUUUGAGGUUCUAACCUAGGCCCGUGAUCCGGGUCGGGGACAGUGUCAUGGUGGGUAGUUUGACUGGGGCGGUCUCCUCCCAAAGAGUAACGGAGGAGCACGAAGGUACCCUCAGCGCGGUCGGAAAUCGCGCUCGAGUGCAAUGGCAUAAGCGUGCUUGACUGCGAGACCGACAAGUCGAGCAGGUACGAAAGUAGGUCUUAGUGAUCCGGUGGUUCUGUAUGGAAGGGCCAUCGCUCAACGGAUAAAAGGUACUCCGGGGAUAACAGGCUGAUUCCGCCCAAGAGUUCAUAUCGACGGCGGAGUUUGGCACCUCGAUGUCGGCUCAUCACAUCCUGGGGCUGUAGCAGGUCCCAAGGGUAUGGCUGUUCGCCAUUUAAAGUGGUACGUGAGCUGGGUUUAGAACGUCGUGAGACAGUUCGGUCCCUAUCUGCCGUGGGCGUUGGAGAUUUGAGGGGAGCUGCUCCUAGUACGAGAGGACCGGGGUGGACGCACCUCUGGUGUACCGGUUGUCACGCCAGUGGCAUUGCCGGGUAGCUAUGUACGGACGGGAUAACCGCUGAAAGCAUCUAAGCGGGAAGCCUCUCCCAAGAUGAGAUUUCCCUGGACCGUAAGCCCCCUGAAGGGCCGUUGAAGACCACCACGUUGAUAGGCCGGGUGUGGAAGCGCAGUAAUGCGUUGAGCUAACCGGUACUAAUUGCCCGUGAGGCUUGACCAU